CAAUAGCGUAUAUUAAAGUUGUUGCAGUUAAAAAGCUCGUAGUUGAAUUUCUGUAUAUGCCCGUUUCUGGCCUCGGUCAAGACGUGGUGUGUGCAUCCGCUUGCAAACCACGUCCGGCCUUCACUGGUCGACGUGGGGAGUAGGCAGUUUACUUUGAAAAAAUUAGAGUGUUUCAAGCAGGUAAUGGCUCGAAUACAUUAGCAUGGAAUAAUGGAAUAGGACUUUUGUCUAUUUGGUUGGUUAUUAGGCAUUAGUAAUGAUUAACAGGGACAGUUGGGGGCAUUAGUAUUUAAUUGUCAGAGGUGAAAUUCUUGGAUUUAUUAAAGACUAACUUAUGCGAAAGCAUUUGCCAAGGAUGUUUUCAUUAA
rnacentral:rRNA from 1 species